CAGGACGAACGCUGGCGGCGUGCCUAAUACAUGCAAGUAGAACGCUGAAGAGAGGAGCUUGCUCCUUCUUGGAUGAGUUGCGAACGGGUGAGUAACGCGUAGGUAACCUGCCUUGUAGCGGGGGAUAACUAUUGGAAACGAUAGCUAAUACCGCAUAACAAUGGAUGACCCAUGUCAUUUAUUUGAAAGGGGCAAAUGCUCCACUACAAGAUGGACCUGCGUUGUAUUAGCUAGUAGGUGAGGUAACGGCUCACCUAGGCGACGAUACAUAGCCGACCUGAGAGGGUGAUCGGCCACACUGGGACUGAGACACGGCCCAGACUCCUACGGGAGGCAGCAGUAGGGAAUCUUCGGCAAUGGGGGCAACCCUGACCGAGCAACGCCGCGUGAGUGAAGAAGGUUUUCGGAUCGUAAAGCUCUGUUGUAAGUCAAGAACGAGUGUGAGAGUGGAAAGUUCACACUGUGACGGUAGCUUACCAGAAAGGGACGGCUAACUACGUGCCAG
rnacentral:rRNA from 1 species